AACUUUUAGCAAUGGAUCACUAGGCUCUUGCAACGAUGAAGAACGCAGUAAAGUGCGAAAAGUAAUGCGAAUUGCAUACUCUGCGAGUCAUCUAGUCUUUGAACGCAAAUGGCACUGUCACGUCAAGUGAUAGUAUGCCUGUUUGAGAACCAAAUAUCAUCUUACAACUAGUUAGUUGUAGACCUGGCCCUUCACCCAUGGUGUGGGCUUGAACUGAUUUUGCAUUGAGCUCCGACAAUGUGUGAUAGUGAAUUCAAUUCAUAAGCAUAGUGUUGGGGCUCCAAGGUGCAACUUACAGUCUGUAUAUAUAUAUAUAUAUAUAUAUAUAUAUAUGCAUACAGACACUCACAAACACCGGUCUCAAAUCAGGCAAGGCUACCCGCUGAACUUAAGCAUAUCAAUAAGCGGAGGCU
rnacentral:misc_RNA from 1 species